rnacentral:rRNA from 1 species
UACAGAGGUCCCGAGCGUUGUUCGGAUUCACUGGGCGUAAAGGGCGCGUAGGCGGCCAGCACAAGUCAGUUGUGAAAUCUCCGAGCUUAACUCGGAACGGUCAACUGAUACUGUGCGGCUAGAGUGCAGAAGGGGCAACUGGAAUUCUUGGUGUAGCGGUGAAAUGCGUAGAUAUCAAGAGGAACACCUGCGGCGAAGGCGGGUUGCUGGGCUGACACUGACGCUGAGGCGCGAAAGCUAGGGGAGCGAACGGG